GUCUACAGCCAUACCACCCUGAACACACCCGAUCUCAUCAGAUCUCGGAAGCUAAGCAGGGUCAGGCCUGGUUAGUACUUGGAUGGGAGAACAGGGAAACUUCCAAUGGAGGACA
ensembl:rRNA 5S_rRNA 5S ribosomal RNA